rnacentral:lncRNA from 10 species
UGCUAUGCUGUGACCACCACUACAGCAGCCCCAUUCUCCUUGCUGUGCUACUCACCUGGGGGUUGCUGAGCCAGCAGGGCCUCCGGAUGGGGUAGACUGAAUAGCAGUACUUUCCCGUCUGAGCAGGCCAGAGCCAAGAGACCCAACCGGGGCAGGAGAGGAGCCUAAAGGGUAAAAGGUGCUCCACUGGGGCAGAACUUGAGGUCCCAGAUGCAGCCGUUGUCACAAGCAAUCCCAUAGACAAAGUGGGCCCUGUUGCCAGGACUGGAGAGAGAGAGCAUGUGGGGAUGGUGGGUAGGAAGAAGGGACGCAGGGCUGCCAGAGGGCUGGAGAAAAGAGCCACAUAUUGCGAGGCUCCUGCCCCCUCUGGCACUGGGCACCAGUCCAGAGCCCAGAGCGGUCCCCCCGUGAAGAAGGACACAUCCCAGCGCUCUGGAUGUGCUGUGAUCGAGCUAAAUCUAGAGAAAAAUCAAAGAUGGGAUGAAGAAAGGAAUUAAUGAAAGGAUCAGAAAAAAGGGCGGAUGUGCAAUCUUCACCUGUUUAUUCGGUAGAGGGUGCCAUCUUCAGGUAGCCCUUCACGUUGUACAGAAAACAAUGGAGACUUCUCCUCCUGGGGCAGGGGUGUCACCCUUCCUAAGCUACAGAGAUGUUGCUUCAACUUACAGCUCAGAUAACAAGUGCCACUUCCAGGCUAAAGGAAUCCACUCAGCAAACUCCCAGUAUGAAUGUUUCUGCUCUCGGCUGGAGAAACAGAAGAAGCAUUAAUGAAGGAGAGGGAUUCUACAGCCGCACAGUCCAAUAAAACUUUCUGUGGGGAUGGAAAUGAUCCAUUAUCUGUGCUCCCCAAUAUGCCAGUUGCUAGCUCCAAUUAGCUACCAAGCACCUAAAAUGUGGCUAGCGCAGCUGAGAAACAGAGCCUUUCAUUUUAUUUCACUUUAAUUAAAGAGUUCUAGAGCUCUUGCCUCUAGAGCAGUGCUUUUUAGUAAU